UACAGAGGGUGCGAGCGUUGUCCGGAAUCACUGGGCGUAAAGGGCGCGUAGGUGGUGGCUUAAGCGUGCGGUGAAAGCUCGGAGCUCAACUCCGAGUCGGCCGUGCGAACUGGGCUCACUGGAGCAUAGUAGAGGCAGGUGGAAUUCCGGGUGUAGCGUGGAAUGCGCAGGAUAUCAGGAGGAACACCGAUGGCGAAGGCAGGUCUCUGGGCCGCAACUGACGCUGAGGAGCGAAAGCAUGGGGAGCGAA
rnacentral:rRNA from 1 species